UCGCCAACGUGGCGAAGGCGUGCAACGACCGCGCGGAAGGUUCGCGGGAGUCGUCGUCGCUCCCGAGGGAGGAGGUGAUCCGGCGCCUGCGCCUGCUGCGCCAGCCGGCCACGCUCUUCGGCGAGGACGACGCCGCGCGCCUCCGCCGCCUCCACGACGCGCUCGAGGACCCCGCCGCGGUCGCGGGCGUGGACGCCGCGGAGAUCGGGGAGGGCCAGACCAACGACUUCCUCCGCGACUUCCAGGCCCCGCGCGCCAGGGCCGCGGCCGUGGCGUCCAAGCCCAAGGCCGGCGCGGCCGACAGGAGCGACGGCGACGGCGAGAAAGAGAAGGAGGAGGCGCCGUUCGACGAGCUCUGCGACGAGGACAAGAUCGUGGCCUUCUUCAAGCGGCUGCUGAGCGAGUGGGGCCAGGAGCUGGACGAGACGCCGGACGCGGAGCGGCGCACGGCCAGGGGCAAGGCGGCGGUGGCCACCUGCAAGCAGUGCGCGCGCUACCUGGAGCCGCUCUUCAGGCUGUGCAGGAAGAAGGCCCUCCCCGGCGACGUCCGGCGCGCGCUGCUGGACGUGGUGCGGUGCUGCGCGCGGCGGGACUACCUGGCGGCGACGGACAGCUACAUCAGGCUGGCGAUCGGCAACUCGCCGUGGCCGAUCGGGGUGACCAUGGUGGGCAUCCACGAGCGGUCGGCCCGGGAG
rnacentral:lncRNA from 1 species